rnacentral:rRNA from 1 species
CCCGCUCAGAAACUACAAAGGAAUUGACGGGGGCCCGCACAAGCGGAGGAGCAUGUGGUUUAAUUCGAUGAUACGCGAGGAACCUUACCUGGGCUCGAACGUAAGAUGACUGUAGGUGAAAGCUUACAUCUCUUCGGAGCAUUUUACGAGGUGCUGCAUGGCUGUCGUCAGCUCGUGCCGUGAGGUGUCGGGUUAAGUCCCAUAACGAGCGCAACCCCUACCUUUAGUUGCCAUCAGGUUAAGCUGGGGACUCUAAAGGAACUGCCUACGCAAGUAGUGAGGAAGGCGGGGAUGACGUCAAAUCAGCACGGCCCUUACGUCCAGGGCUACACACGUGCUACAAUGGCCGAUACAGAGGGCAGCUACCUGGUGACAGGAUGCAAAUCUCCAAAGUCGGUCUCAGUUCGGAUCGGAGUCUGCAACCCGACUCCGUGAAGUUGGAUUCGCUAGUAAUCGCGCAUCAGCCAUGGCGCGGUGAAUACGUUCCCGGGCCUU